GUCUAUGGCCGUACCACCCUGGCAGCCUGAUCUCAGAAGCUAAGCAGGGUUGGGCCUGGGUUAGUACUUGAAUGGGAGACUCUCUGGGGAGUACCGGGUGCUGUAGGUG
rnacentral:rRNA from 1 species